rnacentral:ncRNA from 1 species
CCCAAAAGAUGGUGAACUAUGCCUGGGUAGGGUGAAGCCAGAGGAAACUUGGCUGGAGGUCCAUAGCAGUCCUGACAAGCAAAUCAGUUGACAAACCUGGGUAUAGGAGUCAAAGACUAAUCAAACCAUCUAGUAGCUGG